CCCUCCAAGGAAAACAUGCAAAUGGUGAUAAUGCAUGGGUUGGCAUAGAUGGGAACACUGGUGAAAUCACUGAUAUGAAUGAGAGGAAGGUAUGAUAGUAUUGUUUCUUAUAUCCAUCACGAUAGAACUUUGUUCUCCUAUUACUGGCAUUCUUUUUUUUAUUCAUUUGACUCUUUGAGAAUUGAAGUUAAAACCGCACAGCCUAAAGAUGACUCUAGUACCACUAGACUAAGCUUAUUGGAACUAGCGUUCUCUUUUUGAUAUACAGGAUACGCAAUUUGUGUGAUGCAGUCGACUCAUUUAGCUGAUUAUUCUUUUUACAUGCAUCUGGACUGAAUGGAAUAUGUUUUAGCUUAUUAUUUAAUAUAUGUGCACUGUGAUCUUUUCUCAGAUUCUUGUAUAAAAUUCUACUGGAAGAAACCACCCAUUUUUAGUGAUCUGAUAACUGUUUGAUUACAUCAUCAGAUUUGGGAUGCCUAUAAUGUGA
rnacentral:misc_RNA from 1 species